GUGGAUCAGAAUGCCACGGUGAAUACGUUCCCGGGCCUUGUACACACCGCCCGUCACACCAUGGGAGUGGGUUGCAAAAGAAGUAGGUAGCUUAACCUUCGGGAGGGCGCUUACCACUUUGUGAUUCAUGACUGGGGUGAAGUCGUAACAAGGUAACCGUAGGGGAACCUGCGGUUGGAUCACCUCCUUA
rnacentral:rRNA from 3 species